AGAGGACGUGGAUAACCUCGGGAAACUGAGGAUAAACCGCGAUAGGUCAUAAUUACUGGAAUGUGUUAUGGCCCAAAUCUAUAUGGCCUCUGGAUUGGACUGCGGCCGAUCAGGCUGUUGGUGAGGUAAUGGCCCACCAAACCUUUUACCGGUACGGGCUCUGAGAGGAGGAGCCCGGAGAUGGGCACUGAGACAAGGGCCCAGGCCCUAUGGGGCGCAGCAGGCGCGAAACCUCUGCAAUAGGCGAAAGCCUGACAGGGUUACUCUGAGUGAUUCCCGCUAAGGGAAUCUUUUGGCAUCUCUAAAAAUGGUGCAGAAUAAGGGGUGGGCAAGUCUGGUGUCAGCCGCCGCGGUAAUACCAGCACCCCGAGUGGUCGGGACGAUUAUUGGGCCUAAAGCAUCCGUAGCCGGUUCUACAAGUCUUCCGUUAAAUCCACCUGCUUAACAGAUGGGCUGCGGAAGAUACUAUAAAGCUAGGAGGCGGGAGAGGCAAGCGGUACUCGAUGGGUAGGGGUAAAAUCCGUUGAUCCAUUGAAGACCACCAGUGGCGAAGGCGGCUUGCCAGAACGCGCUCGACGGUGAGGGAUGAAAGCUGGGGGAGCAAACCGGAUUAGAUACCCGGGUAGUCCCAGCUGUAAACGAUGCAGACUCGGUGAUGAGUUGGCUUAUUGCUAACUCAGUGCCGCAGGGAAGCCGUUAAGUUUGCCGCCUGGGGAGUACGGUCGCAAGACUGAAACUUAAAGGAAUUGGCGGGGGAGCACACGGCUCAGUAACACGUAUAGGAAUUGGCGGGGGAGCAC
rnacentral:rRNA from 1 species